GAUGAACGCUAGCUACAGGCUUAACAUAUGCAAGUCGAGGGGAAACGACAUCGAAAGCUUGCUUUUGAUGGGCGUCGACCGGCGCACGGGUGAGUAACGCGUAUCCAACCUGCCCAUCACUUGGGGAUAACCUUGCGAAAGUAAGACUAAUACCCAAUGACGUCUCUAGAAGACAUCUGAAAGAGAUUAAAGAUUUAUCGGUGAUGGAUGGGGAUGCGUCUGAUUAGCUUGUUGGCGGGGUAACGGCCCACCAAGGCGACGAUCAGUAGGGGUUCUGAGAGGAAGGUCCCCCCACAUUGGAACUGAGACACGGUCCAAAACUCCUACGGGAGGCAGCAGUGAGGAAUAUUGGUCAAUGGACGGAAGUCUGAACCAGCCAAGUAGCGUGCAGGAUGACGGCCCUAUGGGUUGUAAACUGCUUUAUAAGGGAAUAAAGUGAGAGUCGUGACUCUUUUUGCAUGUACCUUAUGAAUAAGGACCGGCUAAUUCCGUGUCCAGCAGCCGC
rnacentral:rRNA from 1 species